GACGAACGCUGGCGGCGUGCCUAAUACAUGCAAGUAGGACGCAGUUGCGAACGGGUGAGUAACGCGUAGGUAACUGCCUAUUAGAGGGGGAUAACUAUUGGAAACGAUAGCUAAUACCGCAUACUAGUAGAUGGACCUGCGUUGUAUUAGCUAGUAGGUAGGGUAAUGGCCUACCUAGGCGACGAUACCUAGCCGACCCGAGGGGGUGAUCGGCCACACUGGGACUGAGUAAAGGCCCAGAAGCCGACGGGAGGGAGCAGUAGGGAAUCUUCCGGAAUUGGGGGAACCCUGACCGAGCAACGCCGCGUGAGUGAAGGAGGUUUUCGGAUCGUAAAGCUCUGUUGGUGAGGAAACGGUACUUAACCAGAAAGGGACGGCUAACUACGUGCCAGCAGCCGCGGUAAUUC
rnacentral:rRNA from 1 species